GGGAGAGAGAGCAAGGGAAGGAGAGGGAGAGGGCAGUGGGGCGUGGGUCUCCGUCUCGCUGCUCAUCCUCAGGGAGGCUGCGCGCGGAGGGGACUCGUUGUGGGCGCCCUACCUCGCCAUCCUCCCGCGCCAGACCGACUCCACCAUCUUCUGUGCAGGUCAGAAGAAGAGCUCUUGGAGAUACAAGGAACACAAUUACUGAGCACAACGAUGGGUGUGAAAGAGUACCCUGUUGCUGCUAGUUCUCUCCCCAUGCCUAUGUUGUUGUUCCUUCUAAUUCUCAGAUUCAUGUGCUUGCUCUAAACUUUCCUAACACACUCUGCUGCUGCAUCCGAGUGCAGCCACGGUGCUGGUCUAAGUGGCGACAGAGUGGUGUUCGAAGCGAUGAGGGCCUGUAGAGGGCAUGAUGGGCGAUGCUGCUAUAGAGAAAGAUGAGGAUAAGAGAGAGCAGAGAGAGACAUUGAUUGCUGCACCUCCUGAUCUUGUCUUGUGGAGAAAAAAAUAGAUAUGUGAGGAAGAGAGAGAGAGAGAUAACAGAGAGAGAUACGCACGUCAUUGAACCCUUUCAAUUCUAUUGCAAGGUCUGGCAUGGAGAAUGGCGGACCGUCGCACUUCUCCACUCCGUCGUCUCGUUCCCUCUCUCCGACCAGGCCUAGAAAAGAAGACGAUUACGAUUCUAGACUCAACUUACCUGGACAGGAGUUACUGCCUGUUGUUUCAGAGAUGAGCUCAAACAUGUCCUGGAAGCAGGACCUUACUGUUAAGGUCAAAGAACACGAAGAAGAGAUCACACAGUUAUGAAAGCAUCUGGAUAAUUACAUAACAAAGGAAGCACAAAUACUCAAGGAAAAAUCCGUCUUGGAAAAACGCAUCGCUUAUAUGCGUGUGGCAUUUGAUCACCAGCAGCAGGACUUAGUUGAUGCAGCAUCAAAGGCUUUAGCAUAUAGACAAGAUAUUAUCGAGGAAAACAUCCGCGUGACAUAUGCAUUGCAGGAAACCAUCACUGAGUAGUUAGCACCUGAAUAUAUUCAUUGGAGUACAAGGCCAACAAGGCCCAAAAAGGUUUUAUUUAGGCAUCUGCGGGAGCAACUAAUGCUUACUGAGGAGAAAGUUAAGGAGUCCCAGUAUCAGAUUACCCCAUGGCAAAAUGAGUUGCCAACUAAAACCAGUCUCCCUGCAGAGUCACCUAACAAUCCUUUUAGAAAAGUACCGAACAAAAGCAGCCUUGAUAUUGUGCCCCAGACGCCAUAUCCUCAAGUACAAUCUCCAAUAUCUUCCCCUUCCCCUGUUCAAGCCAGAGGUAACUGGAAAACCAUCAAGUAAUUCCAAGUGAGGUUUCUGCAAGAAAUAUGGAUCCAGAUUACGGAGGAAGGACCACUCUUUCAACCAGGUAGUGCUUAUUCUUUGAGAGCUUAAGUUACCUUUUGCUCUUUAACAGUGUUAUCUACGGUAUUACAGUCGCAUGUUUACGGUAGUCAUGCAAAUACUUAGCACCGGACUACAUCAUCUAUGUUAAUUGCUCAACAACAUCUUGUAGUCAUCACACCACCUGCCAUUUGUAAAAAUAGUAUGUAUACGCUCCUUGCAAACUAUUACGUACAGGGGCUUUAGUCCCGGUUCA